UACGAAGGGGGCUAGCGUUGCUCGGAAUCACUGGGCGUAAAGGGCGCGUAGGCGGAUAGUUUAGUCAGAGGUAAAAGCCCAGGGCUCAACCUUGGAACUGCCUUUGAUACUGGCUAUCUUGAGUUCGGGAGAGGUGAGUGGAAUGCCGAGUGUAGAGGUGAAAUUCGUAGAUAUUCGGCGGAACACCAGUGGCGAAGGCGACUCACUGGCCCGAUACUGACGCUGAGGCGCGAAAGCGUGGGGAGCAAGCAGG
rnacentral:rRNA from 1 species